UACGUAGGGUGCAAGCGUUAAUCGGAAUUACUGGGCGUAAAGCGUGCGCAGGCGGUUCUGUAAGUCUGUUGUGAAAUCCCCGGGCUCAACCCGGGAACUGCGUCCGAUACUGGAGGGCUCGAAUCCGGGAGAGGGAUGUGGAAUUCCAGGUGUAGCGGUGAAAUGCGUAGAUAUCUGGAGGAACACCGGUGGCGAAGGCGGCAUCCUGGACCGGUAUUGACGCUGAGGCGCGAAAGCCAGGGGAGCAAACGGG
rnacentral:rRNA from 1 species